rnacentral:tRNA from 2 species
GGUUGUGUAGUGUAGUGGUCAUCACGUCAGAUUUUGAUCGAGAGAUUAAGAUUUCUGAGAACCCCAGUUCGAACCCGGGCACGACCU